rnacentral:rRNA from 1 species
AUACGAAGGGGGCUAGCGUUGCUCGGAUUUACUGGGCGUAAAGGGCGCGUAGGCGGACAGUUAAGUUGGGGGUGAAAUCCCGGGGCCCAACCUCGGAACUGCCUUUAAAACUGGCUGUCUUGAGUACGGGAGAGGUGUGUGGAACUCCGAGUGUAGAGGUGAAAUUCGUAGAUAUUCGGAAGAACACCAGUGGCGAAGGCGACACACUGGCCCGUUACUGACGCUGAGGCGCGAAAGCGUGGGGAGCAAACAGGAUUAGAUACCCUGGUAGUCCACGCCGUAAACGAUGAUGACUAGUUGUCGGCAUGCAUGCAUGUCGGUGACGCAGCUAACGCAUUAAGUCAUCCGCCUGGGGAGUACGGUCGCAAGAUUAGA